rnacentral:rRNA from 1 species
ACGUAGGGUCCGAGCGUUGUCCGGAAUUAUUGGGCGUAAAGAGCUCGUAGGCGGUAUGUCGCGUCUGCUGUGAAAGACCGGGGCUUAACUUCGGUUUUGCAGUGGAUACGGGCAUGCUUGAGGUAGGUAGGGGAGACUGGAAUUCCAGGUGUAGCGGUGAAAUGCGUAGAUAUCUGGAGGAACACCGGUGGCGAAGGCGGCGUUCUGGACUGCAACUGACACUGAGAAACGAAAGCCAGGGUAGCAAACGGGA